rnacentral:lncRNA from 1 species
GAAAUACUGAUUUUGAUUAUUAUGUUACUAAGAUGCAAUGUUUGAAACAAUUGUAUGUAGAAAAUAAUUUUUACUUUUCUCAGGCCACUGUCCCAGGCAGAUGCAACCUUCUUACACCAAGAUGUUAUACCAUGGUGGAUGCAUCCUUCAGUGCGGCAGAGAAAUGGAAUCAGUGGUUGAGUGAGGUGCAAUGCAUGCAAAACAGAAAGCAUCUGCAAGGAAUAUCAGAGGAACUGCUUCUCUUCCAAAAACCUCCACAUAACCAUCUGGCUAAUUGCGUUCCGUGGUGUAAAGAUUAUCUUUGCUCAUGCCCUGUGAUGGGAGAGAGCUCCUCUGCGCAGCCAGGCCUGGAUAAUUAGCUCGAAAAGGAUCACAUGCUAGAACCGAGGUGCCAAAUUGUGCUGCGUUGUCUCUCUUAGGGAGCACCUCACUGAUGGGGUUCCCUGCUCGGGCGGCCCUACUGACAGAGCGAGUUAUGUUUUGGUUUAGCAGCCCCUAACGAGGACCGGAUUUCGCUCCUCUCGCCCUUGUUGGAAGUUACUCACGCACAUGAGUAAUCCUGGGGAGCUGAAUGGGAACUAUUCACCCAGGAGAGCCCGCCCGGCAUUGACUUCAAUGGGAUUUUUGACCGAAUGGAGGAUGACAGGAUCUGUUACAAGCUCAGGGCUGCCUGUGGGUAGCUGCCUUUCUCACGGCGCUGGUCCUGCGUAAAUUAGGCAGGGCUUCUCCCAGGCUGUAUAAACUUCACAGCAUCCAUCGUGUGUCUUGUACCACAAAACUGGGGCAUAUCUGGGCAGAGGAGGGUUUGUUUUAUGGCUGUUUUUAGGUAGAUGCUGGCAGUAUAAUCCCAAUAGCUUCCCUCUAGGCGCUGUACAACCCCCUGGGGUCCAUAGUAUGAGGCUAAGAGCUCUCCUUACAGCCCCCUUGGAAGAGAUGCUGCUGGUGCCGCUAAAUUAAGGGAGCUUGAAGCUUUGCCUGGGAACUGGAGAAUGUGGAUAAAGUCCCGUGUUGUCAAACUAAUCCUCAUAAAGAAGAGAGAAGACUGCAGAUGAGUCGAUGACAUGUAAACAGAGGAGAUAUGGACGGGAUGAUUACGGCUGCCAAUAUGCAGUGACUUGUGAAAUGCGAGCAUUUAUGUCCCUGUUUGCAUAACCACAUAUUUAUUGUAAACAGCAGCACCCACUAUUAAAAUAACAAAACAACAACAACAAAAAACAAAAACAGGAAGUCCCAUUGCUGCUUGGUUUUUGUUUUGUUUUGUUUUUUUUUUUUCUCAAGAUUAUUUGCUGCUUUCGCCUACAGGAGUUGCACGAGGAGCUGAUGUGGGAGAGAUGAGAAUGGCUGCCUCCAUACCCAACUGCAGUAAAAUUCACCACAUUUCAUUUUUGUGCAGAAUCACUGUUUUUUGGUUGGUUGUUUUCCUGUACGGUUUUAAUGCAAUUUUAUUACAUUAUCGUCUUUUAUGGAAAAAGAAAAGGAUUUGUUCCCUAAUAGGAAAACAAAGUUUAUGGGUUCAAAUAAAGCAGAUAGGAGCCAGAACACAAUGCCUCUAGCAGCUGAACUCGGAGGUAUUUCAUGUUGGUAAACCUCAUCAGGAUCCUGAAUGUUCUGUGCUGGCUGGCUGCAGUGACUUGGAUUUUUACAUGGUUACAGUUUUUAAAAGGACACUGGGCUGACAGAUUUUUAGAAGUGAUGAACGAGAAUUAGAAGAGCAAAGUGUUGUUUUUUAUAAAAAAAAAAAAAGAAGUGAUUAAAAACCAUACAUCAUGAAAACGAGUUGUAUUGUCUCAGCUAUUGUAACAACCAGUUCUCACUGGUCCCUUUUUCCUGUAAUUAAAGCCAUUUUCUUUCCCCUUUCUGGCCUCUUCCUGGCCCAGUGUUCCAGCAACAAGCAGCCAAAAUGUGAGAUUUUUUUGUAAAGGCGAGCAGUAGGAAGAGCAGGUAGACCUGCUUGUCUUUCAGCACCCAUUUCCAGGGACCAUCGUGGAGAUCUUUGCUUUCUUUACAUGUAGUAGCUGCAGUGCAAAGCCCAGUUUUCCUGCUUCUGAUGCGCAGGUCUAUUUUUAUCCCAUAUAUGCCCAUAUAAAUCCCAUAUGUGUGUGCAUGGCACGCACAGAGCUCGGUAACAGCCGGUAGUUUCCCCAUUUCCCAUGUUUCUCCUUCAAUUAAACUUUGUCACUUCCGUAUGUUGGUGAAAUCCGUGUUUUCCCAUGUCAGUGUGGCUGACUCCCUUGCUAAUUAAAACCCUGUCAUCAGCCUCUUCCUUUCCUUCUUUCAUUUAGCGUAAUGGCCAAAGCAUUUCUCUUUGCCAGACUGAUCAUGCCGGCUAUUUCUUUCCUCUUUCUUCAUUCCUCCAUGGUUAAGUCAGAUGCAAACUCCUAAUCUGUAGAGACACCCGUAAUCACAGGCUGAUUCUUAAUUUCCUACUUUCGUGGGUUCAUUAUAUUGCUGCUGUUCCUGAAGCAUGGGGGAAGGACUGCAGCACUUUCCCAACCAGUCAGCUCUAGGACUUCUGGAGCUGAUUUUUUUAAUUAUUUUUUUACUUUUUUUUUACUUUUCUUCUGGAGCCAGGCAGCUGUAGGUCAUACCUUAUAUUCCCCUAUGUUCCACAUAUUCACACUUCUCUAAAGACCAGUAUCUUGGUAGUACAUUAUUAUUAAGAGGUCUUGACAAAAAGGCUAAAAAAUCAAUUUUAAUGCAUUAUUAUCAGAUUACUCUGAUUUAAUAUUGUCACUGCUCAAAGUAACCAAGUUUAAAACCAUAAACAGUGAAUAUCUGCUGUAGAAGACAACUUCUUUGCCACUGCCAUUUAUUAAUUGUUUAAUCCCUGCUAUUUUCUGGUUGUUGUUUUGUUGGUGGUGGUUUGGUUUGGUUUGGUUUGGUUUUCUUUUCUGAUAGCAUUCUGGAAAUGUAGGACUUCACUGCAAAUAGCAAGGCAACAAAAGGAUGUUCUCUGGAAAAAAGUCAGCAUGAUGUUCAGUGUCAUUGACGUGGUCAGUAGGAUUUUAGGAAUUACUAGAAAAGGGAAAAAGGCCAAAGAAAUGAAGAAUCAUCGUGCCAUUCCAUCCACUGGUGGCAUCCCCCUGUCUGAAUGCUACUUAUGUUUCUUGUUCUCGGCACCUCAAAGAAAGAUAACUGUAGGGACAGAGGUAGAAGAUGAUCAGAGGCUUCUGUACAAGAAAAAUAACGAGACUUUCAGGUCAGAGAAGAAGAAAAGCUCUCUCAAGAGCUGCUAAAGUCAAUAUGCAGAAAUAACCUUAGAUGAAGAAAUGGCUCAUCUAUAGGUUACCAAAAUCUAGGUGGCAGACUGGCCAUCUCUUGUGAAGAGCCUGACAAAAUGGAGCCCUGUGCAGAGGGGCCAUGGUUUCCCCAGCUAAAAGUGCC